rnacentral:tRNA from 1 species
AGGCUGCUUCCUGGGGGGACCGCUGGACUCCAAAUUCGGCGGGCAGGGUUCGAUCCCCUGGCGGCCUG